AUUACAAGCAAAGGGUUCAACAUAACUUAUAGCAUCGACUCCAACCCUUGCAUCAACGAACCGUGUCGAAACGGUGCCACCUGCCUACCUAGCGGAAUUAGCUAUACCUGCCAAAUUUGCUCAGUGCAGGACGGUGAAGAGUUUUGUGAACGAGGUGUUGAAGUCACAGGCACGUCCAUCUUCAUAACCAGCGGCAACCCCAUCGUGGAACGAAGGAACCAACAUCAGGUGACCUUUGACCUCAACAUCGGCACUAAUCCAGAGGGUGGCAGUGUGAUAGGAAACAACUUGUGGGCAGUCAGUUUCUAUUACAGCACAAGUGACAUAUCAGGAAACGGUGUUUCUUCUCCCAGCUCAUCGGUGGUCCUGACUCCCUUUCAGUCAAGAACGGGCAUUGUUUCGCCUGGUGUUCCAACCACGCUGGAGGAACUCUCCGGAACUCUUAACCUGACUUUAGCGGUAUGCAGAGACGUCCAGUACGUGUGCGCCAUCCUCUCACGAAACCCAUCAUCUGACCCGCCUUUCUUUAUUUCACCGGCUCCUGGUUCAGACGAAAGUGUGAUGAGAUCAUGUGUUCCAGUCAAGUG